ensembl:lncRNA
CGGCCUCUUCCGGGCCUUAAAAAGCCAGGCCAGCCCCCUCCCUCGACCCCCUCCCCUCCACUGCGGCAGCACGCAGGCUGCUUGGAGAGGUGACAAAAAAUUAAAAUUAAAGCUAAAUUAAAAGGAAGAUUCCCAUUUCCUCUCCCCAUCACACUUUCCACCUUAAUUUUAUCGCAUCUUCCCUCUCGUUUUAUUGACUUUUAGAAGCAUUGCCACAAGAUUUAGUGUGGAGCGGGAGGGGAGGUAAUAAAUGCGGUGCUGCUCUUGCCUCCAAUUAAUGCCGCCAGGGGGUGCGGGGAGGAGGGAGGGGAGGGGGAGGGCCGCCCCUGGGCGUGAAGCCCCCAGGAAGCUCCAGGAGCGCCCAGGUCCGGGAGACAACUGAAGGUGAGGGCGAUGGUCGCUUCUGGCUUUUGUCCCCUCCCUGGGCCCGUUUCCUGGUGGCCCAGAGAAAAAGACUCAUUGUGAACUGUGCCAAUCAGACCAGAAAACAGAAAUCAGAAUUUAGUCUCCUCGGUCUGGUUGUACAAACUCCCGAGCUCUCCCCUCCCCCAAACCCCACCCAGAUUUCCUGGGAUGAAGAUUCCCCACCUACCAAACAGAUCUUUAUUUAAUUUUAUUUUAUUUCACGCUCUGUUGGUGCAAGGCAGGUUCCCCUCCCCACCCUCCCUCCUUCCUUCCUCUAUUUUUUCCUGCGCCCCCCAUCUCUAAUAUCAUUUUCACCCACCCACAGCGACGCUGCGUGUUUGUAAUUUUCUUCUGACCCUAAUGGCUCCAGUUUCCCCUCAGUAUUUAAGCAGAACAAGACAGAGGUUAUUUCCUCAAUUUGACUACAAGCUCCCUGAGGAGCAAAUUGUGGAUGGCAAUAACUCUGUCAACACACCCGAUCAUAACACCUAUGUGUUACAGGACCCAAAAAAGUUUACACCCAGGGUCCCCAGCCUUUGCUCUUCCUCUGCUGCCAAGGAAGUUUCUGUGUUUGGCCCUCUUUGGGCCUUGGGUGGACAGACUGGGUUAGAAAGAACAUUGAAAGAAGCCCCAGAAAUCUAAGAAUAAUUUCCUUCGGAAAAGACAGAUGUCCCUCCUGGCUGAAAGGGAUGGAAGAGGAUAAAAGGCAGAGAGGAGGACAAGGAGAGCCAGGUACGUGGAGGGGCUGGGUUUGGUGAGGGCUGAGCGGAGCCUGAGACAUGGUGGUCGAGCUAUGGGAGGGCGUGGGAGAUGGAAGAAGAGGACUAUGGGAAGUGUCACUUUGUCUUAUGAAUGUAAAUGACCUUUGUGAUGCUUGGCAGGAACUGGAGCUGCAUGUCCCUGUGUUUGGGUGACAGACUGAUGUCUUCUCUGGAUGCAGCACCAAUGGAGAUUGGCCCCAGGAUGGCCUAGAGUUAGGUGGGUGGUGCUGUCAUUUGAGGACCACCUUCAUUUACCUGUCCUGUUUCUAGUAACCCAGCAAGGUUGGUGGUAGGGAUGCCAUUUUACUGAACUUUACUUUUUUUUUUUUUUUGUCUUUUUGCCUUUUCUAGGGCCACUCCCAUGGCAUAUGGAGGUUCCCAGGCUAGGGGUCUAAUCGGAGCUGUAGCCACUGGCCUAUACCACAGCCACAGCAACACGGAAUCUGAGCUGCGUCUGCAACCUACACCACAGCUCACGGCAACGCCAGAUGCUUAACCCACUGAGCAAGGCCAGGGACUGAACCCACAACAUCAUGGUUCCUAGUUGGAUUCAUUAACCACUGCGCCACGGCGGGAACUUCUGAGCUUUACUUUUUUACAUUUUACUAAGCUUUAGAGAAUUUAGGGACAUAGAGGGGAGAGAGAAGAGGAGAGGGAAAGGGGUGGUGACUCUAGCCCUGCCUCAGACCAUUAACCUUUGACCUCCAACCUCAGAGCUAUAUUGUAGGAUGGGGUCACCAUGGCCAUUAAGCUCAUACUGGGGAACACAUAGGAGGCUUAUUAGGCUAGAAAAUGAUAAUAUCAGCUCAGCUUUAUCCAUGGGGUCAGAGGUGGCCCAGGUCCAGGCCUCUGUAGCCUUUGGAGCCCAGAUGACGGUGUGAUUGGCUAGCCUGGGAAAGUCGUCCUGUGAAGCCUGAAAUGGGAGGGAAUGGUGGGGGUGUGGGGGUUCUGGGGACAUGCAGAGCAAAGGGCUGCGGCGGCUGGAUUACUGAUCAGGAAGCCUUAUGGCCAAGGGCAGUGGGCUCACUGAAUCCCUGGGCUUCAUCUGUUAGCAUGUGGGGUCUCUUGGGUAAGGGGACAACCUCCCAUCUCGAAUGACUUUAUUUGGGGGUCAGAGGUAGGGCUUGGUUCAGUACAGGAGGAACACACAGGGUUUGGACAUCAGGGAAUCUAGGGGUUCCCUGAAUUUGGCUCUAGGGGGUCCCUGACUUCUGCUGUGUGCCUCAAUUUCUCCACGGAUAAGUUGUGGCCGCGAGAGGCCAGGUUGCUUGACUCGGAGGUGCCACAGAAGUGACAAGGACUGGAAAGGUGGUGUCCACUGUUCACAUGUGGGUUGGGUGAGGGCGGGCUAAAGUUACCUUUAGUGAGAUGAAGCCUGUGAAGACCAGCCCAUCACAGGUUCACCCUUGGCACUGACAGCCCCAUACAGGUGGGUGUCAGUGGUUAUGUUUCUGCAGGGACAGCAAGGGACCCAGGCAUGGCUGAAAUGUGCAGGAGGACAGAGCUGGGGGUCGGGGGCAGUUCUGGCAGAGGGGGGCCUUCCAUCCUUGCUUUUCAGACCCCGUGGGAGAAAGAAUUCUCUCCUGUCAACCAACUCGGAGCCCAGCCUUAAUCAGCAAUAAUAAAAACAAUAGCUGCUGUUUAUUGAGGGCUUGU